GUUGGGCCGGCCUCUGAGCAAGGGCGGCCCAACACGUGAAAAAAAAAAAGGGGAGGGAGUCUUUCGAUUGAAUGCCCUCCCUCCCCUGUUUCGGGAAUUUUUCCCCUCCUCCCGAAUCCACCGGAAGAAGAGAUUUAGGGGGGGAUCAAACCCUACUAUUUUGGGCCAAUCCUCUUCCAAGACCUCCUCCCUCUCUUCUUAGGGCACCAACCGAGAGAUCCUUUCAAAAAAAAAAAAAAAAGGGGGAGAGAGAUUUGGAGUUCUAGGCGAUCCGUGAGAGACUCGGGUUGUUCGCCGUCGGGCUUGCCGGAGAAGCUCACCGGAGACGAGGGGAACAAUUUGUUGGACAAGAGGACGUUGAGCAGGAUUCUGCGGAUUCCGAUUCAUAGAUCGUCGUGAGGGUGGGUAUUUAGUCUGUCUGAGUUUUUCAACAAAGGAGUUGCAGGAUGCAUAGAUUUGGAUGGGAUGGGCGCAGAGUGCAAGUAUCACAGUCAUUAGCUAGCUAGUUUGUUUAUCCUUGAUGUCGAUAAACAUUUGAAAGCUUUUGUAAAUGAACUAAAUUGAUUAUCUGGACAUGUCGGAUUUGUCUAUUUGAAUUACUAAAUUAAUUGUGGAUUUGUUGGAUUUUUGUUAA